CCUUUUUGUCGUUUUGAGGAUCAGGACAGAUUUGGACAUUUGAGACUUUUGAAUUGGACUUGGACUGCUUUCCACUUCUGAUCACUAACUGCUCCACCUCAGCAACCCAACACAUGAGAAGCGGGAAAGAGGAUGUUUUGAAUGAAUCGACGCCACAGUGCUCAGCAGAAGACGUCAGCAAUAGCAGCACUACCAGCUGAGAGGAAUACACACACACAGGCACCACUGAGAGGAGCAGAGCAGAGCACAGUAUCACAGACCUGCAGCUAACAUGUUGGGCCAACCAGGACAGUCAACCUUACACGUCCCUUACAAGAGGCAGCCAGUGUAUCGUGCGACUGAAAGCCACAACCUGAGAACUGCAUCGUUUCGGCACCCUGUGACCGGACAGAUAUCCCCUGAAAACACAGAAUACACACUACAAGACAGGUGAGUGGUUUUUUUUUCUUCCCUGGGAAUGAUGCAUAUACUGCAUGCUUAAAUGUACAGAUUCAGUUAAUUCAAGGUUAUGCGUUUGGAUUCUACAAAUAGACUGGAGAAUAG
rnacentral:lncRNA from 1 species